AUUUCAUUGAUCGUAUUACGUCCUUUUAAUCAGAUUAAACUGAAAAGCAAACUUUAUAUAUCCUGCAAUAAUGCCAGAGUAAUUGGGAGAAGAAUAAGCAGUAAAUACUGGAGCUGUACGCCACAUAUUCACGUCUCUUGAGCACUGUGCUUUAUCUCUGCGUGCAGUUCUCUUGUCUACCAGAACGAGGCGCUGUUGUACAAGGGGAUGCAUACUCUAUUUGGUUGCGGGAAAUAUGUUUUAUUUUCUAAAUUAAGAAAUGACCGAAAACUUUUAAUGUAUCCCGUGUUUCAGACUGUAUCAGCAGACACUUUUAAAUGAAGAUGUUUUCGCCGACAGAGCCGACGAUCAUAUGUUUGAUCGGGAUGGUGUUAUGUCAUUUUUCCGACUGCUUUACAAACUAGCAGGGUAUUUUGGCGUAAGGCCUGCUGGUCGGGCUUUUGCCGGGUGAGAUUUGGGGGUAAGGCCGCGUCAGGUCGCCUUCAGGCCGGCCGUGAGUGACGCGCAGUCUCGCUGCCAGAAGAAGAGCUAUGGAGCGGAUGGAGGUGGACCAGUGCGCAGGCGCAGGAGGAGCCCUCCGAAGGUCGAACAGCGCCCCCAUGAUCACGAACGUCAGCGACGGGACGACAGUAUUCAGCCCUAAUAGUUCGGCUCGGUAUCGUCGAAGCAGCGUUUCUGUAAACCCGAGCUGUCCCUCACGGAUCCUUCCUCUGUCCCCGUUCUCCCUGCCAUGUGAAAGAUCCGAACACAAGAGACAGGUUGAGAAUAUGGAGCUCACCUUGAGGGGGAGCUUGCAGAGACUAAGCGCCUCGCCUGCUGUUCCCUUCCCUCCUGCGAGUCAUUGGCAUGACCAUCUGUCUCCAGUGAGUAGGCUAUCACUCUCUGUUCAUGUUUCAGGUCAUCAGUUUCAAUCCAUUUUCUUUCUUGUUAUUCACCCUUGUCUGCACGUCCCAUGCAGGGAUUCCAUUCCCAGGACAGCGGUGUCACUCCUAAUUCCUCACCCAGUCCAAUUCGAAGGUUUCGAGGGUAAGUUCAUGAAUAAAACUACAGUAUUUGAAUGUAUAUCCUUCAAAUGUGGAUAG
rnacentral:lncRNA from 1 species